rnacentral:rRNA from 1 species
GACGAACGCUGGCGGCGUGCUUAACACAUGCAAGUCGAACGGAAAGGCCCUGCUUUUGUGGGGUGCUCGAGUGGCGAACGGGUGAGUAACACGUGAGUAACCUGCCCUUGACUUUGGGAUAACUUCAGGAAACUGGGGCUAAUACCGGAUAGGAGCUCCUGCUGCAUGGUGGGGGUUGGAAAGUUUCGGCGGUUGGGGAUGGACUCGCGGCUUAUCAGCUUGUUGGUGGGGUAGUGGCUUACCAAAGCUUUGACGGGUAGCCGGCCUGAGAGGGUGACCGGCCACAUUGGGACUGAGAUACGGCCCAGACUCCUACGGGAGGCAGCAGUGGGGAAUAUUGCACAAUGGGCGGAAGCCUGAUGCAGCAACGCCGCGUGCGGGAUGAUGGCCUUCGGGUUGUAAACCGCUUUCGCCUGUGACGAAGCGUGAGUGACGGUAAUGGGUAAAGAAGCACCGGCUAACUACGUG